rnacentral:rRNA from 1 species
GAUGAACGCUGGCGGCGUGCUUAACACAUGCAAGUCGAACGGUGAAGGCGGAGCUUGCUCUGCUGGAUCAGUGGCGAACGGGUGAGUAACACGUGAGCAAUCUGCCCCUGACUCUGGGAUAAGCGCUGGAAACGGCGUCUAAUACUGGAUACGAGCUGCGAAGGCAUCUUCAGCAGCUAGAAAGAACUUCGGUCAGGGAUGAGCUCGCGGCCUAUCAGCUUGUUGGUGAGGUAACGGCUCACCAAGGCGUCGACGGGUAGCCGGCCUGAGAGGGUGACCGGCCACACUGGGACUGAGACACGGCCCAGACUCCUACGGGAGGCAGCAGUGGGGAAUAUUGCACAAUGGGCGAAAGCCUGAUGCAGCAACGCCGCGUGAGGGACGACGGCCUUCGGGUUGUAAACCUCUUUUAGCAGGGAAGAAGCGAAAGUGACGGUACCUGCAGAAAAAGCGCCGGCUAACUACGUG